rnacentral:tRNA from 1 species
GCUGUUGUAGCUCAGUAGUAGAGUACUUGUCUAGCAUGCAUGAGGACUUGGGUUUGAUCCCCAGCACUGCA